AUGCAGUCGAGCGGAUGAGGGAGCUUGCUCCCGGAUUCAGCGGCGGACGGGUGAGUAAUGCCUAGGAAUCUGCCUGGUAGUGGGGGAUAACGUCCGGAAACGGGCGCUAAUACCGCAUACGUCCUGAGGGAGAAAGUGGGGGAUCUUCGGACCUCACGCUAUCAGAUGAGCCUAGGUCGGAUUAGCUAGUUGGUGGGGUAAAGGCCUACCAAGGCGACGAUCCGUAACUGGUCUGAGAGGAUGAUCAGUCACACUGGAACUGAGACACGGUCCAGACUCCUACGGGAGGCAGCAGUGGGGAAUAUUGGACAAUGGGCGAAAGCCUGAUCCAGCCAUGCCGCGUGUGUGAAGAAGGUCUUCGGAUUGUAAAGCACUUUAAGUUGGGAGGAAGGGCAGUAAGUUAAUACCUUGCUGUUUUGACGUUACCAACAGAAUAAGCACCGGCUAACUUCGUGCCAGCAGCCGCGGUAAUACGAAGGGUGCAAGCGUUAAUCGGAAUUACUGGGCGUAAAGCGCGCGUAGGUGGUUCAGCAAGUUGGAUGUGAAAUCCCCGGGCUCAACCUGGGAACUGCAUCCAAAACUACUGAGCUAGAGUACGGUAGAGGGUGGUGGAAUUUCCUGUGUAGCGGUGAAAUGCGUAGAUAUAGGAAGGAACACCAGUGGCGAAAGCGACCACCUGGACUGAUACUGACACUGAGGUGCGAAAAGCGUGGGGAGCAUUGAUAGCCGUUGGGACCUUGAGAUCUUAGUGGCGCAGCUAACGCGAUAAGUCGACCGCCUGGGGAGUACGGCCGCAAGGUUAAAACUCAAAUGAAUUGACGGGGGCCCGCACAAGCGGUGGAGCAUGUGGUUUAAUUCGAAGCAACGCGAAGAACCUUACCUGGCCUUGACAUGCAGAGAACUUUCCAGAGAUGGAUGGGUGCCUUCGGGAACUCUGACACAGGUGCUGCAUGGCUGUCGUCAGCUCGUGUCGUGAGAUGUUGGGUUAAGUCCCGUAACGAGCGCAACCCUUGUCCUUAGUUACCAGCACCUCGGGUGGGCACUCUAAGGAGACUGCCGGUGACAAACCGGAGGAAGGUGGGGAUGACGUCAAGUCAUCAUGGCCCUUACGGCCAGGGCUACACACGUGCUACAAUGGUCGGUACAAAGGGUUGCCAAGCCGCGAGGUGGAGCUAAUCCCAUAAAACCGAUCGUAGUCCGGAUCGCAGUCUGCAACUCGACUGCGUGAAGUCGGAAUCGCUAGUAAUCGUGAAUCAGAAUGUCACGGUGAAUACGUUCCCGGGCCUUGUACACACCGCCCGUCACACCAUGGGAGUGGGUUGCUCCAGAAGUAGCUAGUCUAACCGCAAGGGGGACGGUUACCACGGAGUGAUUCAUGACUGGGGUGAAGUCGUAACAAGGUAACCGUAA
rnacentral:rRNA from 1 species